AAAGGGAAACAGCCCAGACCACCAGCUAAGGUCCCAAAAUAUAUGUUAAGUGGAAAAGGAUGUGGCGUUGCCCAGACAACUAGGAUGUUGGCUUAGAAGCAGCCAUCAUUUAAAGAGUGCGUAAUAGCUCACUAGUCGAGUGACACUGCGCCGAAAAUGUACCGGGGCUAAACAUAUUACCGAAGCUGUGGAUUGUCCUUUGGACAAUGGUAGGAGAGCGUUCUAAGGGCGUUGAAGCAUGAUCGUAAGGACAUGUGGAGCGCUUAGAAGUGAGAAUGCCGGUGUGAGUAGCGAAAGACGGGUGAGAAUCCCGUCCACCGAUUGACUAAGGUUUCCAGAGGAAGGCUCGUCCGCUCUGGGUUAGUCGGGUCCUAAGCUGAGGCCGACAGGCGUAGGCGAUGGAUAACAGGUUGAUAUUCCUGUACCACCUAUAAUCGUUUUAAUCGAUGGGGGGACGCAGUAGGAUAGGCGAAGCGUGCGAUUGGAUUGCACGUCUAAGCAGUAAGGCUGAGUAUUAGGCAAAUCCGGUACUCGUUAAGGCUGAGC
rnacentral:rRNA from 1 species